UACGGAGGGAGCUAGCGUUGUUCGGAAUUACUGGGCGUAAAGCGUAUGUAGGCGGCUUCGUAAGACAGAUGUGAAAUCCCAGAGCUUAACUUUGGAACUGCAUUUGUGACUGCAAGGCUUGAGUAUCGGAGAGGUUGGCGGAAUUCCAAGUGUAGAGGUGAAAUUCGCAGAUAUUUGGAGGAACACCGAUGGCGUAAGCAGCCAACUGGACGAUUACUGACGCUGAGAUACGAAAGCGUGGGGAGCAAACAGG
rnacentral:rRNA from 1 species